GCGUAAGCGCGCGCAGGCGGUUUCUUAAGUCUGAUGUGAAAGCCCACGGCUCAACCGUGGAGGGUCAUUGGAAACUGGGGAACUUGAGUGCAGAAGAGAAAAGCGGAAUUCCACGUGUAGCGGUGAAAUGCGUAGAGAUGUGGAGGAACACCAGUGGCGAAGGCGGCUUUUUGGUCUGUAACUGACGCUGAGGCGCGAAAGCGUGGGGAGCAAACAGGAUUAGAUACCCUGGUAGUCCACGCCGUAAACGAUGAGUGCUAAGUGUUAGAGGGUUUCCGCCCUUUAGUGCUGCAGCUAACGCAUUAAGCACUCCGCCUGGGGAGUACGGUCGCAAGACUGAAACUCAAAGGAAUUGACGGGGGCCCGCACAAGCGGUGGAGCAUGUGGUUUAAUUCAA
rnacentral:rRNA from 2 species